rnacentral:sRNA from 1 species
AAUAUGUGUGUAGGAAGAAGUGAAAAUCAAAUCCCGUGGCUGGCUGAGACUCUGCCAUAGCCAGCAAGAAGGUUGAGAUAAUUUCUUCUCCAACUCACCAAGUAUUCGAAGUCUGGCUGGUGUUUCUCUUUACGUGCUGGUCUUAAGUACAACGCAGAGGAUCACACUUAGCAGAUAAUUGUCAAGUUCGUGGGACAGUCUGUUCCUUGGAAAUGCUUUCUACUCUAAAGAUGCUGUACUCCAUCACUGGUGUGUGCAUGACUUCCUGGUCCUACUGAAGCCAGGAAAAUAUUGAAAUGCGGACAUAGGCAUUCGGAGAUGCACUUAUGAAGACCCGUGAGCUCCUAAUUAUGAAAAAGCUACAGUCAGUGUAACUGCUGCAUCUUCCUUUGAGUUGAACAUUUCUGCUGGUUUGUAACGUAACGCUUUCAUCUAAGUAUUCUGCAAUUUGGGCAUUUAAUAAAAAACGUUAAUAGUCUCUGGUCUUAGAGAUGAA